UACCAUAACGGCAAGCGAACCUCCUCUAUGACAGCCACCUAUUAAAACCACAAGUCUGUAAAUCAGGGGUGUCAAACAUCCAGCGCGGGGACCAAACCUGAUCCAUGGGACUUAAUGAAGGUGAAGAUGAGAUGGAAGACAAAAGAUUUUUAAAUACGAGUCGGGUGUCAGUUUGUGUUCUGAGGAACUCCAGAGCCACGGACACGUUCUCCAGCUUCAUCUGCCUGAAGUUGGGCCUCGGAUGGUAUUUUCUGUACAUCUUCUU